AUUGAACGCUGGCGGCAUGCCUUACACAUGCAAGUCGAACGGCAGCACGUCCCCUCGGGGAUGGUGGCGAGUGGCGAACGGGUGAGUAAUACAUCGGAACGUACCCAGGAGUGGGGGAUAACGUAGCGAAAGUUACGCUAAUACCGCAUAUUCUGUGAGCAGGAAAGCGGGGGAUCGCAAGACCUCGCGCUCUUGGAGCGGCCGAUGUCGGAUUAGCUAGUUGGUGAGGUAAGAGCUCACCAAGGCGACGAUCCGUAGCAGGUCUGAGAGGAUGAUCUGCCACACUGGGACUGAGACACGGCCCAGACUCCUACGGGAGGCAGCAGUGGGGAAUUUUGGACAAUGGGGGCAACCCUGAUCCAGCCAUGCCGCGUGAGUGAAGAAGGCCUUCGGGUUGUAAAGCUCUUUCGGCGGGAAAGAAAUGGCAACGGCUAAUAUCCGUUGUUGAUGACGGUACCCGCAUAAGAAGCACCGGCUAACUACGUGCCAGCAGCCGCAGUAACAC
rnacentral:rRNA from 1 species